rnacentral:rRNA from 1 species
AUGGGGCACAUAGUUGUCAUCGUACUCUUCUUCUUCGCCGUCUUCCAUCAUAACCCCUAUUUCUCAGUGCCUCGUCCAAACAUUAUAGUGUGGCACGAAACCCUUGUAAAGCAGGUGGGUGUGAAGGAUUUUCCGGUCAGAUUAAGACUUCGUAUUCCCACAUUUAGUGCAUGGACAACACAUAAAACAAUUCUGCUUGUUUGCCUCAGCCACUUCGAGAAAAAUAUGCAAGCCCUUAAUGUAUUCGGAGGUGUGUCUGUCACCAUACAUCCAUUGCCGGUUCAUCUGCGUGUAUUACAUAUAAUUAGGGAAAAAUGUGUGUCAAAAUUAAGAAAAUCAGACAAAUAUCUAUCUAAAGUAAGAAAAUCAGACAAGUAUCAGAAAGAAGAUAAGAACAAGAGGCUCACCACGGUGGUGCCGGCGACGAGAUCGGCGCAGGUGAUCAACGACGGUGAAAAUGGGGACGGGGCGUGA